rnacentral:rRNA from 1 species
AUGGCAGACACAGGAGACGAGCUGAAGCUGCUGGGCAUGUGGGCGAGCCCGUACGUGGUCAGGGUGCAGCUCGCACUCCGCCUCAAGGGCGUGAGCUACGAGUACGUCGAGGAGGACCUCGCCAACAAGAGCGAGCUCUUCCUCCGCUCCAACCCGGUUCACAAGACGGUCCCGAUCCUCAUCCACAACGGCAAGCCCGUCUGCGAGUCCCAGGUCAUCCUCCAGUACAUCGACGAGGCCUUCGCCGGCGUCGGCCCGCCCCUCCUCCCCGCCGACCCCUACGAGCGCGCCGUCGCGCGCUUCUGGGCCGCCUACGUCGAGGACAAGCUGCUGGCGCCGUGGGGGAAGGUGUUCAGGGUGACCACCGACGAGGAGAGGGCCGAGUGGACGCGGCAGACGGCGGCGGCCCUGGGUCCUCUGGAGGAUGGCCUCAGGGAGUGCUCCAAGGGGAAGGGGUUCUUCGGCGGCGACUGCGUCGGGUACGUCGACGUCCUGCUCGGCAGCAUGGUGCCGUGGGUGCGCGCCACCGAGAGGCUCUCCGGCGACAAGUUAGUCGACGCCGGCAAGGCCCCGCUGCUGGCGGCAUGGAUGGACCGCAUUAGCGAGCUCGACGCCGCCAAGGCGGUCUUCCAGGACGUCGACAGGGUGGUUGAGUACGCCGGGGGAAUACAGACCCGGCUUUCCGCCGCGGCUGCAAGCACCCAAUAA